CUAAGGAAUAAUACGGAAACUGCACAUAUCGAAACAUUAUUCAGUUUUGAGAGAUCUAUCUCAAAAUGGGGCCUUAGCUCAGUUGGGAGAGCGCCUGCUUUGCACGCAGGAGGUCAGGAGUUCGACUCUCCUAGGCUCCAUUGAUGACCGAAGGUCGUCAAAACUUGUUCUUUGAAAACUAGAUAAUAAUUUAUUUCUUUAUAAAACCGAGAACACCGCGUUUUAAAGAGUUUAAAACAAGAAAAAGUUCUAAUCGCUAAACUCAUAGACCACUAUCAGAAAGAUAGUUGA
rnacentral:tRNA from 1 species